rnacentral:misc_RNA from 1 species
UUACUAAGAGCUUUGAGGCAGAAAGGUGGAUGGCGUAGGUUACAAUUUGUUCCAAAUGCAAGAGUUCCCAUCUUAAAAUUUGAGAGUGGCCGCCAGAGCAUCUCGUGUGAUAUUUCAAUCGAUAAUUUGCAGGGUCGAAUGAAGUCCAAUUUUUUGUUCUGGAUCAGCCAGAUAGAUGGACGUUUUCGCGAUUUGGUCUUACUGGUCAAGGAAUGGGCCAAAGCUCACAAUAUCAAUAAUCCAAAGUCUGGGACAUUAAACUCAUACUCCCUCAGUUUACUUGUUAU